UCAGUACAAGCCCAAAUUAAGGUGAAACCGCGAAAGGCUCAUUAAAUCAGUUAUGGUUCCUUAGAUCGUACCAACAAUUACUUGGAUAACUGUGGUAAUUCUAGAGCUAAUACAUGCAAACAGAGCUCCGACCGGAGACGGAAGGAGUGCUUUUAUUAGAUCAAAACCAAUCGGUGGCGGGUUCGCGCUCGUCAUCGUACAACUUGGUGACUCUGAAUAACUUUACGCUGAUCGCACGGUCACCGCACCGGCGACGCAUCUUUCAAAUGUCUGCCUUAUCAACUGUCGAUGGUAGGUUCUGCGCCUACCAUGGUCGUAACGGGUAACGGGGAAUCAGGGUUCGAUUCCGGAGAGGGAGCCUGARAAACGGCUACCACAUCCAAGGAAGGCAGCAGGCGCGCAAAUUACCCACUCCCGGMACRGGGAGGUAGUGACSAAAAAUAACGAUACGGGACUCAUCCGAGGCCCCGUAAUCGGAAUGARUACACUCUAAACCCUUWAACGAGGAUMAAUUGGAGGGCAAGUCUGGUGCC
rnacentral:rRNA from 1 species